AGAGUUUGAUCCUGGCUCAGGAUGAACGCUGGCGGCGUGCUUAACACAUGCUAGUCGAGCGAGAUUUUAUAAAAUUACUCUUCGGAGGAAGUUUAUAGAUGAAAGCGGCGGACGGGUGAGUAACGCGUAGGCAACCUACCUUAUACAAAGGGAUAGCCUCGGGAAACUGGGAUUAAUACCUUAUAAUACUCUGGGAUCGCAUGAUUCUAAAGUCAAAGAUUUAUCGGUAUAAGAUGGGCCUGCGUCUGAUUAGCUAGUUGGUAAGGUAACGGCUUACCAAGGCGACGAUCAGUAGCCGACCUGAGAGGGUGAUCGGCCACACUGGAACUGAGACACGGUCCAAACUCCUACGGGAGGCAGCAGUGGGGAAUAUUGCACAAUGGGCGAAAGCCUGAUGCAGCAACGCCGCGUGAGCGAUGAAGGCCUUCGGGUCGUAAAGCUCUGUGAUAUUGGACGAACGAUUUCGGUACCUGACAAGGAAGCACCGGCUAACUCCGUGCCAGCAGCCGCGGUAAUACGGAGGGUGCAAGCGUUAUCCGGAAUUACUGGGUGUAAAGGGUGCGUAGGCGGUAAUGUAAGUCAGGUGUGAAAGCCCGAAGCUCAACUAUAGUAAGCACUUGAAACUACAUAACUAGAGUACAGGAGAGGUGAGUGGAAUUCCUAGUGUAGCGGUGAAAUGCGUAGAUAUUAGGAGGAACACCAGUGGCGAAGGCGACUCACUGGACUGUAACUGACGCUGAGGCACGAAAGCGUGGGGAGCGAACAGGAUUAGAUACCCUGGUAGUCCACGCUGUAAACGAUGAAUGCUAGGUGUUGGGGGUCAAAGCCCGGUGCCGCAGCUAACGCAUUAAGCACUCCGCCUGGGGAGUACGGUCGCAAGACUGAAACUCAAAGGAAUUGACGGGGGCCCGCACAAGCAGCGGAGCAUGUGGUUUAAUUCGACGCAACGCGAAGAACCUUACCAGGACUUGACAUCCCUCGCUAUUGUCUGAAAGGAUGAGUUCCCUUCGGGGACGAGGAGACAGGUGGUGCACGGUUGUCGUCAGCUCGUGUCGUGAGAUGUUGGGUUAAGUCCCGCAACGAGCGCAACCCUUGUCCUUAGUUGCCAGCAUGCAAGAUGGGCACUCUAGGGAGACUGCCGGUGAUAAACCGGAGGAAGGUGGGGAUGACGUCAAAUCAUCAUGCCCCUUAUGUCCUGGGCUACACACGUGCUACAAUGGCCGCUACAAUGGGAAGCCAAGGAGUAAUCUGGAGCAAAUCCCUUAAACCGAUCGUAGUCCGGAUCGCAGUCUGCAACUCGACUGCGUGAAGUCGGAAUCGCUAGUAAUCGUGAAUCAGAAUGUCACGGUGAAUACGUUCCCGGGCCUUGUACACACCGCCCGUCACACCAUGGAAGU
rnacentral:rRNA from 1 species